UCACACUUCAGAGUCUUCUGAAACUCACAUUGGAGAAACAGCCAUAUGAGGGAUUUGGAGAUGAGGAAUGGGGUUUCUUCAAUAUUCAGGCAAGAUGGCUCCCAAAGUCUCAAGCCCACUGUGCUGAUUUGAGCAUUUGGCUCAGCCUUUUCUGGUCAUCACCAACGUUCACCUGGCCAUGCUGAUGGCAGCACGCAUGGAUCUGGCCAUUCCCACAGCCUGGUCACCCCAUGGUGGCCCUUGAUUGAGCUUGCCAUGGCACGGAAGGGGGCCUCUCCUACUCACCGAUCUCCUUAUUGAGAGAAAGAGUCUUGCUGUGUUGCCCAGGCUGGUCUCAAACUCCUGGGCUCAAGAAAUCCUCCCGCCUCAGCCUCCCAAAGUGUUGGGAUUACAGGUAUGAGCCAUUGCACCUGGCCCAGAAAUAUCUUUAGUUAUGUGGCAAAGUGCCCAGCUGAACCUUCUGUUAUCACAGAUCAGAGAACAAAUAUUGGGAAAUGUUAGGUACUGAAUGUUUGUAUCCCCACUAAAAUUCAUAUGUUGCUGGCAUUUGGAGAUAGGACCUUUGGGAAUUAAUUAUUGUCAGAUGAGGUCAUGAGGGUGAAACCCUUCUCUGAUAGGAUUAGUGUCCUUAUAAGAAGAGACAUCUGCUGGACUCAGUGGCUCAUGCCUGCAAUCCCAGCACUUUGGGAGGCUGAGGCAGGCAGAUUGCUUGAAGUCAUGAGUUCCAGACCAGCCUGGGCAACAUGGCAAAACCCCAUCUCUACAAAAAAUACAAAAAUUUGUCAGGCAUGGUGUCACAUAUAUGUAGUCCCAGCUACUCAGGAGGCUGAGGUGGGAGGAUCGUUUGAGCCCAGGAGGCAGAGGUUGCAAUAAGCUGAGAUUGCGCCACUGCACUCCAGCCUGGGCGAUAGAGCCAGACCUUGUCUUAAAAAAUAAAAAUAAAGAAAGAAGACACAUCACUCACUCUCCAUCCACUAUGUGAGGACGCAGAGAGAAGGCAGUCAUCUACAAGCCAAGAAGAGAGCCUUCAUCAGAAACGGACCCUGCUACUCCUUGAUCUGGGACUUCCAGUCUCCAGAACUGAGAAAAACAUACACUUCUGGUGUUUAAGCCACCCAGUUUGUGGUAUUGUGUUAUGGCAGCCCAAGCAGAUAGAUAAAGAUUCUACCUCCAAACAGUCACAUUCUGCGGAACAGGAGGUUCUGACUUCAACCUAUAAAUUUGUAGGGGGGACACAAUUUAGCCAUAAUAAGCAUACUAUAGAUGCCCAGGAAAUACUUCUUAUCUAUCUGAUUAAAAGACUCAGAAAGAGAAAGGCUAAUCAUACCGUUAACUAACUCCUGUGCACAGGGCCACUCAGCAAUGUUUUGACAUGUUACUCCUCCUCUUGCUUCCCCUUAGAACUCAAUAUUCUCUUUGGCUGUUAAGACCACUCUCUCUAAGUUCUUUUCCUUCUUCUCAGGCCACUCCUUCAUCUCCUGAGUUCCUCUACCUCCGGCCAUCCUUUAAAAGUCAGCAUUCUAUAGUCUUAUUCUCCUCACUCUAAGCUCUUUCCACGGUGAUCUCAUGGACUCCACUGCUGCAAUCAUCGUUUGCAUCUGAUGGUUCUCAAAUCCAUAGCUUCCACUCACACCUCUUCUAAACAGCUUGUCCAAAGCACUAACAGAGCCAGCCAUGGUGGUGUGCACCUAUAAUCCUAGCUUCUCAGGAGGCUGAGCAGGGAGGAUUGUUUGAGGUUAGGAGGUCAAGGUUGCAGUGCACUAUGAUCAUGCCUGUCAAUAGUCACUGGUCUCCAGACUGGGCAACAUAGUGAGACCCCACCUCAAAAAAAAAAGCACUAACAG
rnacentral:lncRNA from 10 species